UACGGAAGGCAGCAGUGGGGAAUAUUGCACAAUGGGCGCAAGCCUGAUGCAGCCAUGCCGCGUGUAUGAAGAAGGCCUUCGGGUUGUAAAGUACUUUCAGUCGUGAGGAAGGUGUUAAGGUUAAUAACCUUAGCAAUUGACGUUAGCGACAGAAGAAGCACCGGCUAACUCCGUGCCAGCAGCCGCGGUAAUACGGAGGGUGCGAGCGUUAAUCGGAAUUACUGGGCGUAAAGGGCACGCAGGCGGUUAAUUAAGUUGGAUGUGAAAUCCCCGGGCUUAACCUGGGAAUGGCAUUCAAGACUGGUUAGCUAGAGUCUUGUAGAGGGGGUAGAAUUCCAUGUGUAGCAGUGAAAUGCGUAGAGAUGUGGAGGAAUACCGGUGGCGAAGGCGGCCCCUGGACAAAGACUGACGCUCAUGUGCGAAAGCGUGGGGAGCAAACAGGAUUAGAUACC
rnacentral:rRNA from 1 species